rnacentral:rRNA from 1 species
UACGGGGGGGGGCAAGCGUUGUUCGGAAUUACUGGGCGUAAAGGGCUCGUAGGCGGCCAACUAAGUCAGACGUGAAAUCCCUCGGCUUAACCGGGGAACUGCGUCUGAUACUGGAUGGCUUGAGAUUGGGAGAGGGAUGCGGAAUUCCAGGUGUAGCGGUGAAAUGCGUAGAUAUCAGGAGGAACACCAGCGGCGAAGGCGGCGCUCUGGGCCGGAACUGACGCUGAGGAGCGAAAGCGUGGGUAGCAAACAGG